rnacentral:rRNA from 1 species
UGGGGAAUAUUGGACAAUGGGCGCAAGCCUGAUCCAGCAAUGCCGCGUGUGUGAAGAAGGCCUUCGGGUUGUAAAGCACUUUUAUCAGGAGCGAAACGCUGUCGGCUAAUACCCGGCGGAACUGACGGUACCUGAGGAAUAAGCACCGGCUAACUUCGUGCCAGCAGCCGCGGUAAUACGAAGGGUGCAAGCGUUAAUCGGAAUUACUGGGCGUAAAGCGUGCGUAGGCGGUUUCUUAAGUCUGCUGUGAAAUCCCCGGGCUCAACCUGGGAAUGGCAGUGGAUACUGGGAGGCUAGAGUGUGUCAGAGGGUGGUGGAAUUCCCGGUGUAGCGGUGAAAUGCGUAGAGAUCGGGAGGAACAUCAGUGGCGAAGGCGGCCACCUGGGACAACACUGACGCUGAGGCACGAAAGCGUGGGGGAGCAAACAGGAUUAGAUACCCUGGUAGUCCACGCCCUAAAAGCGAUGCGAACUGGAUGUUGGUCUCAACUCGGAGAUCAGUGUCGAAGCUAACGCGUUAAGUUCGCCGCCCUGGGGAGUACGGUCGCAAGACUGAAACUUAAAUG